ACAACUUUCAGCGACGGAUAUCUCGGCUCAGGCACCUAUGGAGAGUAUGUUUGCUUCAGUGCUU
rnacentral:rRNA from 1 species